AUUGAACGCUGGCGGCAGGCAUAACACAUGCAAGUCGAGCGCGCGGCGGACGGGUGAGUAAUGUAUGGGAAACUGCCUGAUGGAGGGGGAUAACUAGUGGAAACGGUAGCUAAUACCGCAUACAAUCAGAUGUGCCCAGAUGGGCUUAGCUAGUAGGUGGGGUAAUGGCUCACCUAGGCGACGAUCCCUAGCUGGUGUGAUAGGAUGACCAGCCACACUGUAACUGUGACAAGGUCCAGUGUCCUACGGGAGGCAGCAGUGGGGACUAUUGCACAAUGGGCGCAAGCCUGAUGCAGCCAUGCCGCGUGUAUGAAGAAGGCCUUCGGGUUGUAAAGUACUUUCAGCGGUGAGGCGUUACCCGCAGAAGAAGCACCGGCUAACUCCGUGCCAGCAGCCGCGGUAAUAC
rnacentral:rRNA from 1 species